UACGUAGGGGGCUAGCGUUGUCCGGAUUUAUUGGGCGUAAAGAGCGUGUAGGCGGCCAGGUAGGUCCGGUGUGAAAACUCGAGGCUUAACCUCGAGAUGUCAUCGGAAACCAUCUGGCUAGAGUCCGGAAGAGGAAAGUGGAAUUCCUGGUGUAGCGGUGAAAUGCGCAGAUAUCAGGAAGAACACCAAUGCGAAAGCAGCUUUCUGGGACGGUACUGACGCUGAGACGCGAAAGCGUGGGGAGCGAACAGG
rnacentral:rRNA from 1 species